rnacentral:rRNA from 1 species
UUAAGCGACUAAGCGUACACGGUGGAUGCCCUGGCAGUCAGAGGCGAUGAAGGACGUGCUAAUCUGCGAUAAGCGUCGGUAAGGUGAUAUGAACCGUUAUAACCGGCGAUUUCCGAAUGGGGAAACCCAGUGUGAUUCGUCACACUAUCAUUAACUGAAUCCAUAGGUUAAUGAGGCGAACCGGGGGAACUGAAACAUCUAAGUACCCCGAGGAAAAGAAAUCAACCGAGAUUCCCCCAGUAGCGGCGAGCGAACGGGGAGCAGCCCAGAGCCUGAAUCAGUGUGUGUGUUAGUGGAAGCGUCUGGAAAGGCGCGCGAUACAGGGUGACAGCCCCGUACACAAAAAUGCACAUGCUGUGAGCUCGAUGAGUAGGGCGGGACACGUGGUAUCCUGUCUGAAUAUGGGGGGACCAUCCUCCAAGGCUAAAUACUCCUGACUGACCGAUAGUGAACCAGUACCGUGAGGGAAAGGCGAAAAGAACCCCGGCGAGGGGAGUGAAAAAGAACCUGAAACCGUGUACGUACAAGCAGUGGGAGCACGCUUCGGCGUGUGACUGCGUACCUUUUGUAUAAUGGGUCAGCGACUUAUAUUCUGUAGCAAGGUUAACCGAAUAGGGGAGCCGAAGGGAAACCGAGUCUUAACUGGGCGUUAAGUUGCAGGGUAUAGACCCGAAACCCGGUGAUCUAGCCAUGGGCAGGUUGAAGGUUGGGUAACACUAACUGGAGGACCGAACCGACUAAUGUUGAAAAAUUAGCGGAUGACUUGUGGCUGGGGGUGAAAGGCCAAUCAAACCGGGAGAUAGCUGGUUCUCCCCGAAAGCUAUUUAGGUAGCGCCUCGUGAAUUCAUCUCCGGGGGUAGAGCACUGUUUCGGCAAGGGGGUCAUCCCGACUUACCAACCCGAUGCAAACUGCGAAUACCGGAGAAUGUUAUCACGGGAGACACACGGCGGGUGCUAACGUCCGUCGUGAAGAGGGAAACAACCCAGACCGCCAGCUAAGGUCCCAAAGUCAUGGUUAAGUGGGAAACGAUGUGGGAAGGCCCAGACAGCCAGGAUGUUGGCUUAGAAGCAGCCAUCAUUUAAAGAAAGCGUAAUAGCUCACUGGUCGAGUCGGCCUGCGCGGAAGAUGUAACGGGGCUAAACCAUGCACCGAAGCUGCGGCAGCGACACUAUGUGUUGUUGGGUAGGGGAGCGUUCUGUAAGCCUGUGAAGGUGUGCUGUGAGGCAUGCUGGAGGUAUCAGAAGUGCGAAUGCUGACAUAAGUAACGAUAAAGCGGGUGAAAAGCCCGCUCGCCGGAAGACCAAGGGUUCCUGUCCAACGUUAAUCGGGGCAGGGUGAGUCGACCCCUAAGGCGAGGCCGAAAGGCGUAGUCGAUGGGAAACAGGUUAAUAUUCCUGUACUUGGUGUUACUGCGAAGGGGGGACGGAGAAGGCUAUGUUGGCCGGGCGACGGUUGUCCCGGUUUAAGCGUGUAGGCUGGUUUUCCAGGCAAAUCCGGAAAAUCAAGGCUGAGGCGUGAUGACGAGGCACUACGGUGCUGAAGCAACAAAUGCCCUGCUUCCAGGAAAAGCCUCUAAGCAUCAGGUAACAUCAAAUCGUACCCCAAACCGACACAGGUGGUCAGGUAGAGAAUACCAAGGCGCUUGAGAGAACUCGGGUGAAGGAACUAGGCAAAAUGGUGCCGUAACUUCGGGAGAAGGCACGCUGAUAUGUAGGUGAAGCGACUUGCUCGUGGAGCUGAAAUCAGUCGAAGAUACCAGCUGGCUGCAACUGUUUAUUAAAAACACAGCACUGUGCAAACACGAAAGUGGACGUAUACGGUGUGACGCCUGCCCGGUGCCGGAAGGUUAAUUGAUGGGGUUAGCGCAAGCGAAGCUCUUGAUCGAAGCCCCGGUAAACGGCGGCCGUAACUAUAACGGUCCUAAGGUAGCGAAAUUCCUUGUCGGGUAAGUUCCGACCUGCACGAAUGGCGUAAUGAUGGCCAGGCUGUCUCCACCCGAGACUCAGUGAAAUUGAACUCGCUGUGAAGAUGCAGUGUACCCGCGGCAAGACGGAAAGACCCCGUGAACCUUUACUAUAGCUUGACACUGAACAUUGAGCCUUGAUGUGUAGGAUAGGUGGGAGGCUUUGAAGUGUGGACGCCAGUCUGCAUGGAGCCGACCUUGAAAUACCACCCUUUAAUGUUUGAUGUUCUAACGUUGACCCGUGAUCCGGGUUGCGGACAGUGUCUGGUGGGUAGUUUGACUGGGGCGGUCUCCUCCUAAAGAGUAACGGAGGAGCACGAAGGUUGGCUAAUCCUGGUCGGACAUCAGGAGGUUAGUGCAAUGGCAUAAGCCAGCUUGACUGCGAGCGUGACGGCGCGAGCAGGUGCGAAAGCAGGUCAUAGUGAUCCGGUGGUUCUGAAUGGAAGGGCCAUCGCUCAACGGAUAAAAGGUACUCCGGGGAUAACAGGCUGAUACCGCCCAAGAGUUCAUAUCGACGGCGGUGUUUGGCACCUCGAUGUCGGCUCAUCACAUCCUGGGGCUGAAGUAGGUCCCAAGGGUAUGGCUGUUCGCCAUUUAAAGUGGUACGCGAGCUGGGUUUAGAACGUCGUGAGACAGUUCGGUCCCUAUCUGCCGUGGGCGCUGGAGAACUGAGGGGGGCUGCUCCUAGUACGAGAGGACCGGAGUGGACGCAUCACUGGUGUUCGGGUUGUCAUGCCAAUGGCACUGCCCGGUAGCUAAAUGCGGAAGAGAUAAGUGCUGAAAGCAUCUAAGCACGAAACUUGCCCCGAGAUGAGUUCUCCCUGACUCCCUGAGAGUCCUGAAGGAACGUUGAAGACGACGACGUUGAUAGGCCGGGUGUGUAAGCGCAGCGAUGCGUUGAGCUAACCGGUACUAAUGAACCGUGAGGCUUAACCUU